CAAGCUCCAUGAGAGUAUACUUCACUGACAAAUGGUCUGACCAAAUAACUGUAGACAGAAAUGACACUUACAGGCUUAAAUCUGAAAAGCAGCUUGUGUUUCUUCUUGUCCUUUGGGUGCUCUGCCCUCUGCCUCCAAGCUUGGCCCUGAAUGUAACACAUGGGGUAAAGCCACAAUAGAUGACUCCCAGAAAAAAAAGAGCAUGAGAAGAAAUGUGUAUUUUUAUGCAUUGAGUUAGAGGCUAGCUUAUUAUGCAGCAUUGUUGUGGAAAUAGCUGACUGAUACAUGGACACGUCCAAGCCAAAGCUUGCAGGACCUCAGCCAGAGUUGAUAUACUCCUCUGAAGGUCUAUGCCUGUGGUCCUCCUGCCCACAGGAUUCAACAGAAGAAAGCACUAGCAUCAAAGAGGUGAAGACCACAGACCACCAAUAAACAACCUCCAAAUCAAGAAACGACAAUAGAAUGAAAAUAAACCCAUGCAAGUAAAGGUCAGUUCUGAAACACAUCCAUCGAACUCCAUAUAUUCAGAAAUACUUUUAAAACUAAAUACUAAUUUGUGUAAAUGCUUACAUAAAUUAAUCACAUGACAUAUGACUAAGAAAUUUGACUGCAUUUUGAGUCACCAAAAUGAUCAAGUUCUUUUAUUUAAGAAUCUAUAUAGAGUUGAGCUCCUCUAUGACAUGUCUGGUGGUUCAGUAAGUCAAUAACAACCAGCUAUUUAAUUCGUGAUGCCAGCAUCAAUAAGUUAACUCACAUUCAUUUUACUUCACCUUGGAAAAUUUACACCUUCUUCAGAACAUCGAGCCUUGUGAAAACCGUUUGCAAAAUGCCAAACAGCUCGGACAAUAAGGGAAUAAUUAACCAAUCAAUUUGAAUGAUGCAUAAGAGCAAACAUACACAAAUCAUUUUGUCCUUUUUAAGGCUUUACUUGUAUAGCUAAAGUUUAUUUAUCAUUGACAAACCACCAAAUGUCUUGGAUAACUGAAAGCUAUGUUAUAUAUCUUUUGGAAUACGUAAUUUUAAUUAGGCCAAGGCCCUGUUCCUGUGAUUAUCCUCAAAGAUGGGUUAAAGUUGUUUUAAGCCUAUACUAUCUGCAAAAAAAAAAAAAAAAAAAAAAAAA
rnacentral:lncRNA from 1 species